GAAAGCUUUUGGAAUGGAAAAUGAACUGCUUGAAGAUAAGGAAGAUGAUGAAAUGGAUAUGCAUCACAAGAGUGGUGAAUCAGCUGACAUUGUUGAAGUAGAAGACUUCUCUGUCAUUGUUCCUUUAAAUAUAAAAGAUCCACAUGUAUCACAAACCAAAGGUCGAAAGAAAAGUACCGAGAAACAAGGUCCUGGUGGGAGAAUUAAAGGUGGGCUUGAAAUAUCCUUAGCUCAUGCAACAACAAAAAGACGAUCUUGUCAACCUUGUGGGGGUUAUGGUCAUAAUCGUCGUACUUGUAAACAAUUUAAUGGCGAAGGAAGUGAUUACCAAGAUGAAGAAAACAUUACAGAGGUUGAUGACAAUGAUAUUGAUGAUUUAGCAUAAAGUACAUGUGGCUGAAGAGAAUCACAAAAUGAUCAUUCCAUGGUGGAAUUUAUAUAUAUAUUGAGUCCAAGUAGCUGAAGGAACUAUGUUUAAGGAGCUAUGUUGUUAAUCAUGAUGAAAUAGUUUUAUUUGGUUUUUUGUUUUGUUUUUUUAAGGACCUAUGUUGGAAUACUGUUAUUUAAGGACAUAUGCCUCAUUUUUUU